CCUACGGGUGGCUGCAGUGGGGAAUAUUGGACAAUGGGGGGAACCCUGAUCCAGCCAUGCCGCGUGUGUGAAGAAGGCCCUCGGGUUGUAAAGCACUUUCAGUGAGGAAGAACGCCUGGUGGUUAAUACCCAUCAGGAAAGACAUCACUCACAGAAGAAGCACCGGCUAACUCCGUGCCAGCAGCCGCGGUAAUACGGAGGGUGCGAGCGUUAAUCGGAAUUACUGGGCGUAAAGCGCGCGUAGGUGGCUUGAUAAGCCGGUUGUGAAAGCCCCGGGCUCAACCUGGGAACGGCAUCCGGAACUGUCAAGCUAGAGUGCAGGAGAGGAAGGUAGAAUUCCCGGUGUAGCGGUGAAAUGCGUAGAGAUCGGGAGGAAUAGCAGUGGCGAAGGCGGCCUUCUGGACUGACACUGACACUGAGGUGCGAAAGCGUGGGUAGCAAACAGGAUUAGAUACCCCAGUAGUC
rnacentral:rRNA from 1 species